CCAUCCCCAGCGCCCACAAAAAUGUCUGCUCUGCUUGGCUUAUAAAGGAAAAAGAUCCUUUUAAGGGAAAGACAGUUUAGUAAAAGAUAACACUAGCUCGUUUUUACUGUAUCAGCAGUGUGAAAGAAAGGAGAAAAAGAGAGGAUGGGAAUUUUAGUGAUGGAGAGACAUCCCCUUGCUUAUGCAUGUGGAUUCCUGAGUCCUCUCAACACCUAGCUACUCAAUUAAGUUGUAUUAAUAGUAACAAAGGGUGUCCUGGUGUAUAAUGUGUUCUUUAAAAAUAACACCUAAACGUGCCUUUACGCUUGUUCUUUCCAUUCUGCUGGGAAGUAUCAUCAUAUUACCUAUACAGCUACAGCAUUCAGGAUAUUGGCAUCCCGGGCCAUGUCUGUAAUUCCUAAACACAUUAAAAUGGUUGAAGUCAGUGUAUUUUACUUUCAGAGCUGGGAUGGACAAGGGGUGUAUGGCCAGUUACCACAGAACAGCGCAGUAACUCAUCAGUCAUCUGUCAAUACCCUCAAGUUGUCUGCGUGCACUUCUUUUUACUAUUUUAGCCAAGCAGCUGUGGAACUUUCUGAAUAUAAACAUGACAGCUGUAUACAGAUGUAUUGCCACCAUCCUCCUUUCACUUGUCAGUUCUCGGCUUACGUAGUGACCACCUUUGUUCAUACUCUGAAAGUCAGUAUUGCGCAGGGAGGUUCUGACUUACCAUCCUCUCACGAUUCUCUUUCCUAGGAGAGAGGCCCACAUCGUAGAAGAGUUUCUUCCAAAGAACAGCUCACACCAAGGUAAUCACAGCACUACCUCUUACAGCAGCUGGGAACAGCAGCAGAACAGCAGGCUCUGCCAUUAUAUUUUCCCCAGUACUAACUUCCAGUUUUCAUCAGUCUGCAUCUUGUACACUUCCCAAGUCAGAGGUGUGUCUUUACAUCUAAUCUGAUGGAUCUCCCUCACAUGAAUUUGCCCAGCCACAUUUUGAGCCCACCUGUGCUUUUGGCACCCACAGGAUCUGGGGCAGUGGGUGCCACAGUGAAAUUGUGUGGUAACACGAAGAUGACAAGAGUGCUCUGAAGGAAACCCUCCUGUUACCGGAGCCAGGAGAGGUAAGGCCAAGACAGGUACAAUUUAAAUGUGUUUGCUUCUCCUCUUUGGACAAAGGCACAAAGAUCUGCAACUUUAACUUUGCCCUACGGUUUCUCAGUGGUGUAUCACACUCAGUCACCCCUUCACACACCAGCUGGUACAACGUGUUACAAGGUUCGGUAACUGCAGACCUCCCCAAUCCGUCCUGUUUUCUUGCUGCAAGGAGUGGAAUACAAGGUCCUGGAGUUGUUUAUACCACCUGUUCCAUGAUCCCAAAGGACUCUUGAGGACUUAGUGGCUCAUCUGGUCAGACUUUGUGCAAACUAACCAGUUUUCAGCUGCGCCUCUGCUCAGGCAGCCAGGCACGGUCUCUAACUGGUGAUAGCUAGUCCUAGUGAUGGAUUGCUCGUAUCUGACAGCCAGUGGGGAAGGGAUGUUUAGGCCAGUGUAGAAAAAGACAACGAUACAGAAUUGUGCUGGGACCAAAACUGUAUCGGGGAGAUGUAGUGCGUCCGUGGAGGGGUGUGUUUAGUUCGGUGGCUUUUCCUGGCUUAAAGAUACUAUUGGUACUAUCAGCAAUUAAAUAAAACAUUUGGAGGUAAAAAUCUGCCUGAG